rnacentral:rRNA from 1 species
CUACCCUUGACAUGUACGGAAUCCUGCUGAGAGGUGGGGGUGCCCGAAAGGGAGCCGUAACACAGGUGCUGCAUGGCUGUCGUCAGCUCGUGUCGUGAGAUGUUGGGUUAAGUCCCGCAACGAGCGCAACCCUUGUUCUGUGUUGCCAGCAUGCCCUUCGGGGUGAUGGGGACUCACAGGAGACUGCCGGGGUCAACUCGGAGGAAGGUGGGGACGACGUCAAGUCAUCAUGCCCCUUAUGUCUUGGGCUGCACACGUGCUACAAUGGCAGGUACAAUGAGCUGCGAAGCCGCGAGGCGGAGCGAAUCUCAAAAAGCCUGUCUCAGUUCGGAUUGGGGUCUGCAACUCGACCCCAUGAAGUCGGAGUUGCUAGUAAUCGCAGAUCAGCAUUGCUGCGGUGAAUA